GCAAGCGGCCAAGCGAAAGCGUUAAGUAUUCCACCUGGGGAGUACGCCGGCAACGGUGAAACUCAAAGGAAUUGACGGGGGCCCGCACAAGCGGAGGAACAUGUGGUUUAAUUCGAUGAUACGCGAGGAACCUUACCCGGGCUUAAAUUGCAGAUGAAUUACGGUGAAAGCCGUAAGCCGCAAGGCAUCUGUGAAGGUGCUGCAUGGUUGUCGUCAGCUCGUGCCGUGAGGUGUCGGCUUAAGUGCCAUAACGAGCGCAACCCUUGUUGUCAGUUACUAACAGGUUCCGCUGAGGACUCUGACAAGACUGCCAUCGUAAGAUGUGAGGAAGGUGGGGAUGACGUCAAAUCAGCACGGCCCUUACGUCCGGGGCUACACACGUGUUACAAUGGGGGGUACAGAGGGCCGCUACCACGCGAGUGGAUGCCAAUCCCAAAAACCUCUCUCAGUUCGGACUGGAGUCUGCAACCCGACUCCACGAAGCUGGAUUCGCUAGUAAUCGCGCAUCAGCCACGGCGCGGUGAAUACGUUCCCGGGCCUUGUACACACCGCCCGUCAAGCCAUGGGAGCCGGGGGUACCUGAAGUGCGUAACCGCGAGGAGCGCCCUAGGGUAAAACUGGUGACUGGGGCUAAGUCGUAACAAGGUAGCCGUACCGGAAGGUGCGGCUGGAACACCUCCUUUCUGGAG
rnacentral:rRNA from 1 species